rnacentral:rRNA from 1 species
UGGGAUAACUCCCGGGAAACCGGGGCUAAUACCGGAUAUACAUUUUUAAUCGCAUGAUUGGACAAUUGAAAGGCGGCUUCUAGCUGUCACUUAUGGAUGGACACGCGUCGCAUUAGCUAGUUGGCGAGGGUACGGCUCACCAACGAUGCGUAGCCGCCCUGAGAGGGUGAUCUGCCACCACUGGGACUGAGACACGGCCCAGACUCCUACGGGGAGGCAGUAGGGAAUCUUCCACAAAUUUGGACGAAAGUCUGACGGAGCAACGCCGCGUGAGUGAUGAAGGCUUUCGGGUCUCCAGUAAAACUCCGGUUGUUAGGGAAGAACAAGUCCUAGAUUGAAUAAGCUGGCACCUUGACGGUACCUAACCAGAAAUUGCGAUUGCCACGGCUAACUACGUGCCAGCAGCCGCGGUAAUACGUAGGUGGCAAGUUAUCCGGAAUUAUUGGGCUGUAAAGCGCGCGCAGGUGGUUUCUUAAGUCUGAUGUGAAAGCCCACGGCUAACCGUGGAGGGUCAUUGGAAACUGGGAGACCUGAGUGCAGAAGAGGAAAGUGGACUUCCAUGUGUAGCGGUGAAUUGCGUAGAGAUAUGGAGGAACACCAGUGGCGAAGGCGAGUUUCUUGGUCUGUAACUGACACUGAGGCGCGAAAGCGUGGGGAGCAAACAGGAUUAGAUACCCUGGUAGUGCCCCCCGUAAACGAUGAGUGCUAAGUGUUAGAGGGUUUCCGCCCUUUAGUGCUGAAGUUAACGCAUUAAGCACUCCGCCUGGGGAGUACGGCCGCAAGGCUGAAACUGAAACUCAAAGGAAUUGACGGGGGCCCGCACAAGCGGUGGAGAAUGUGGUUUAAUUCGAAGCAACGCGAAGAACCUUACCAGGUCUUGACAUCCUCUGAAAACCCUAGAGAUAGGGCAUUCUCCUUCGGGAGCCAGAGUGACAGGUGGUGGUGCAUGGUUGUCGUCAGCUCGUGUCGUGAGAUGUUGGGUUAAGUCCCGCAACGAGCGCAACCCUUGAUCUUAGUUGCCAUCAUUAAGUUGGGCACUCUAAGGUGACUGCCGGUGACAAACCGGAGGAAGGUGGGGAUGACGUCAAAUCAUGCCCCUUAUGACCUGGGCUACACACGUGCUACAAUGGACGGUACAAAGAGCUGCAAGACCGCGAGGUGGAGCUAAUCUCAUAAAACCGUUCUCAGUUCGGAU